UGCAGGUGGCGUCCGCGUGGUUUGGUAGUGGCGGCUCAGCUCCGUGGGGCUCUGGCAGCGCUCUUUUGCUGAGCCAGAAUCCCGCAGGAUGGACAGAGUGGGCGUUCGACUGUGAAAAGAAGGCACAGGCAUUCUCACGUGGGCGUGACAUUGAGGCCAGCUCUCCCGCUGUGCUUUUCCCUGUCUGGGUCACUCAUCCCCUAGCCCCGCCUGUUUCCAAAGACAAAUGAGAGGCACUGUUGUUUAAAAAGAAAAGAACUGGAAGGAAAGUCGACUUGGAUUCUAGUCCUGGCUCUGAAACUAUGUAGCAUGGCCUCUGGCCUGAGUUCAGGACCCGGCUUUCUCUUUGACAUUCCUCAGCCGCCCGAGAGCAGCACAAAUACAUAGUCGAGUCUCCUGAGACCAAAGGGCCGGGGACACCCCGCCGAAAACGCGCUCCAUUGGAACAGCUGCCGUCUUCCCAGUCCCACCAAGGGCAAAGAGGGGAAAUGGAGUCCCUUAGGAGAAAUCCACCGCUUCUAGAAACCCGCAGCCCGCACAGAACACACACUUACCUUCCACAGCUCAAGGGACUCUUCACACCCGACAGUGGAACUGUCUGGUUACGUUUGCAUUUUGGGGAGUGUAGUUCAUGAAGCCGAAAUGAUGCAAGGAAAACUACAAGUCCCACAACCCCCCGCGCCGCACCCUUGAGGACGGGGUCGUCCGGGAGCGCCCCCUGUCGGCCUCUCCUGGCAGAGGUUUUGAACCUUGGUUCGUUCUCUCAGAAGCGGUUAGAGCUUCAGUGCCAAUGGCCCGAGUGCAAACUAGCACAUCCAAACAGCGCGACCGUAGGAAUUCAUCCUGAGAUAGAAGCUUUUAAUAAUGGAUCUAGGCUGGGUGCAGUGGCUCCUGCCUACAAUCCCAACACUUUGGGAGGCCAAAGCAGGGAGGAUCGGUUGAG